AUUGAACGCUGGCGGCAUGCCUUACACAUGCAAGUCGAACGGUAACAGGUCUUCGGAUGCUGACGAGUGGCGAACGGGUGAGUAAUACAUCGGAACGUGCCUAGUAGUGGGGGAUAACUACUCGAAAGAGUGGCUAAUACCGCAUGAGAUCUACGGAUGAAAGCAGGGGAUCGCAAGACCUUGUGCUACUAGAGCGGCCGAUGGCAGAUUAGGUAGUUGGUGGGAUAAAAGCUUACCAAGCCGACGAUCUGUAGCUGGUCUGAGAGGACGAUCAGCCACACUGGGAAUGAGAAACGGCGCAGACUCCGACGGGAGGCAGCAGUGGGGAAUGUUGGACAAUGGGCGAAAGCCUGAUCCAGCAAUGCGGCGUGCAGGAUGAAGGCCUUCGGGUUGUAAACUGCUUUUGUACGGAACGAAAAGCCCCGGGUUAAUACCCUGGGGUCAUGACGGUACCGUAAGAAUAAGCACCGGCUAACUACGUGCCAGCCGCCGCGGUAA
rnacentral:rRNA from 1 species